CCUACGGGAGGCAGCAGUGGGGAAUUUUGGACAAUGGGCGAAAGCCUGAUCCAGCAAUGCCGCGUGUGGGAAGAAGGCCUUCGGGUUGUAAACCACUUUUGUACGGAACGAAACGGUUCGCUUUAAUACAGUGGGCUAAUGACGGUACCGUAAGAAUAAGCACCGGCUAACUACGUGCCAGCAGCCGCGGUAAUACGUAGGGUGCGAGCGUUAAUCGGAAUUACUGGGCGUAAAGCGUGCGCAGGCGGUUAUAUAAGACAGUUGUGAAAUCCCCGGGCUCAACCUGGGAAUUGCAUCUGUGACUGUAUAGCUAGAGUACGGUAGAGGGGGAUGGAAUUCCGCGUGUAGCAGUGAAAUGCGUAGAUAUGCGGAGGAACACCGAUGGCGAAGGCAAUCCCCUGGACCCGUACUGACGCUCAUGCACGAAAGCGUGGGGAGCAAACAGGAUUAGAUACCCUGGUAGUCCACGCCCUAAACGAUGUCAACUGGUUGUUGGGUGCAUUAGUACUCAGUAACGAAGCUAACGCGUGAAGUUGACCGCCUGGGGAGUACGGCCGCAAGGUUGAAACUCAAAUGAAUUGACCGGNNGAGACGNGCGAGACGACGACGAGGGAGAGG
rnacentral:rRNA from 1 species